AAAUUGAAGAGUUUGAUCAUGGCUCAGAUUGAACGCUGGCGGCAGGCCUAACACAUGCAAGUCGAGCGGUAGCACAGAGAGCUUGCUCUCGGGUGACGAGCGGCGGACGGGUGAGUAAUGUCUGGGAAACUGCCUGAUGGAGGGGGAUAACUACUGGAAACGGUAGCUAAUACCGCAUAACGUCGCAAGACCAAAGUGGGGGACCUUCGGGCCUCAUGCCAUCAGAUGUGCCCAGAUGGGAUUAGCUAGUAGGUGGGGUAAUGGCUCACCUAGGCGACGAUCCCUAGCUGGUCUGAGAGGAUGACCAGCCACACUGGAACUGAGACACGGUCCAGACUCCUACGGGAGGCAGCAGUGGGGAAUAUUGCACAAUGGGCGCAAGCCUGAUGCAGCCAUGCCGCGUGUAUGAAGAAGGCCUUCGGGUUGUAAA
rnacentral:rRNA from 1 species